GGCCGCGGGAAGACUACCCGCUUGAUAGGCGGCAUGUGUAAGCCGGGCAACCGGUUCAGCUGAGCCGUACUAAUGGCCGAGGGCUUGACCAC
rfam:Chloroflexi bacterium RBG_16_64_32 RBG_16_scaffold_11256, whole genome shotgun sequence.